UGGCGGGCGGAGGCGGGAAGUUCUCUGGAAGCAGAAAAUCUGGAGGCGAUGGCCACGAGGCUCGAGCAGAAGUCCCGCAAAGUCGAGACCUUGCUCAAACAGUUGAGCUCUAUGGAUUCCAAAACCCUAAUUCGAAUAGAUCAUCCUUACCUCUAACGAAUAUUGUUUUUUUCCUUUUUUCGUUAGAUUGAAGCCGGUGGAAGCUCUGAAGACGGCGCUUGAAGGAUCACGGACGAGCAUCAAGGAUGAGAGGUGUAAGUCGGCGAAUUGGAUUGUGGUGCAUCGGGCGAUGAUGGCGAUAAAGGAUGUGGAUGGGAUGUUCUCGACCUUGGAUCCAGAGUACUAUGACAUUCUCAUGAACUUUAGGUUUGGCAGACCAACCAACUUGUUUCACAUGAUGUUGAGGUGGAUUCUACAGGACAGGUUGCUACUGCUGAUGAUUGGGUGGAAGAGGAGGAGGAUCAGCCUGCUGGAGUUGAUGGUGAUCAGCAUAGUCUUCAAUGUAACUCUGCAUGUACUUUUGUUUUGAGCUCUCUUGUUUGGAUAUUUGCUCAGGUCUAGUUGCAUACUUAAUCCUUCUUCUUGUGUGGCUGUAUAUUUUUUCCUUAAUUUUUUCUGGUUGUUUGUUCAUUUCUUUUUAUAUUUAAAAAAGGAAAAGAAAACCACUUGUACCUUCCAUGUGCCUACAUGUUUUGAGAUAGUCCUCUGCAUAAUAUUGUUGAAUGGUCUAUUGGAUUGCUUAUUUCUUUGCUAGUCUACUGGUUUUUGACGUCUAUAUAUUAUAUUCAUGACAUUGACUUGUUGAUAAAUAGUUUGCUGUGGUAUCACUUCAGUUCACUUCCUAUUCACGUGCACACUAUCAAUCUUCCUUAUGACCCCGUAUUUGUAAAUUCUUAUUUUGAUUUUGAUUUUGUUUUACAUUAUGAUUGAUUUCUUGAUAUGAUUACACAUCUAGCAGAUGUGGUCGAGGAUGAUUUUGCAGACCACCUCUACGCACUCUAUACCGUCUGGACACUCGACGGGUUAGUAUCAUUUAAUGUAUUGAUAUUAUACUGAUUUCAUAUUAUUUUAUCUUAGUAGAAUUCUCUCUGAUCCUCCUGAGGGAAUAAUUUGGUUGUAGUUUUAUAUUUAACAUGCAAACUUUGCAGGACACGGUACUGGAGUUGGAGUUUCAAGGCAUCAAUAAGUUCACUAUGCUUCAGAGAUGGCCUGUUCGAACCACUUUUGACUGGACAAUGUGUUCUCAAUGCCUUUUUCCCCUCUGUGCUUGGAGGAAUUUGUGCUAUACCUGGAGCUUUUGGUUGUGGUAAAACAGUCAUCAGUCGGGCACUUUCAAAGGUAACAUUUUCAUUUUUCAUUUUGAUAACCUUCUCGGUACUGAAAAUAUUACUUUUCCCCCCUUGUACAUGUUUUGCACUAAUUUUCUUCUUUCUUCUAGUACUCUAAUUCCAGCACAGUGAUCCAUGUGGGCUGUGGAGAAAGAGGAAAUGAAAUGGUUGAGAAUCAAAUGAUAAAGAUGGGAGCAGAUACCAUUCAACUUGAUGGAACUCGAUCAAUGACAAAUGAGGAAAUCUGUACAAAAGUUCUCAAAGUCAAAUCAGGCUACAUUAAGGGCUAUGGUUUUGGUUCUAGACCACCACCAUUAAGGUUCUUCCGUUCUUCGAUGAGUGAAAUGUCUGAAAAGAAUAAAGAGUUGCAAGAACAGCUUCAAGAGACCCAACAACUUGUAGGAACUCAACAAUAAAAGAUCGAUGCGCAAAAUGAGGUAAUCCAAAGAUUGGAGGAGCAAGCCAAAAAGUUUGAGGAGUUUAUGGCUAAUUUUUCCAGGCAACAUCAAUCAACUUAGUAUUCUUAGUGAACUUAAACUUGGAGAAAUGUUUCUUUGAUCGUGUUGUAUUUGUUAUUGUUUUAGACUAGCACUGUUACUUAUGGUAGAAACUUGUUUUAUUUAUUUUAAUUGUUUUGAUGUGCUGUGGUGAUAAUUGAUGACAAUUAUUUAUAUUUUGAG